CCGCGAGAAGCCGCUGCCGGCGGUGUGUAAAUAUCCGAGUUUGGGCCGAGAUCACCUCGGGGCCGUGGUGGCAGAGCGGGAAGGUUACACAGAGCUGUGGGGAGCGGUUCGGCCGAGCUCCGGGGCAGCAGAGGAAUGAUUUUCAAAAGGAAUCCAUGCAGUGAAUGUGAUGAACCACCAAUCUGCCUGAUGCUACUACCCCAACUCUGUCCUUCAUCAGAUUAAGUUCUCUUCUUACUUCACUGAGCAGCAGCAGAAAGCUUUCACCUUUCUAGAGGAUGCAAAGAUUUACAAGAAAUGGACAACACAAACAUCUACAAGAAGAUCCCAUUGAAUCAUCCAUAAAA